rnacentral:pre_miRNA from 1 species
UUGAAGGAUUUGAAGACCUCAACUUGCAGACUUGAAGAAUUUGAAGAUCUCAACUUGCAGACGUGAAGAGUUUGAAGACCUCAAUU